rnacentral:rRNA from 1 species
GACGGGCAGCUUCCCGGAAACGAAAGUUUUUCGGUUCCGGGGGAAGUAUGGUUGCAAAGCUGAAACUUAAAGAAAUUGACGGAAGGGCACCACCAGGAGUGGAGCCUGCGGCUUAAUUUGACUCAACACGGGAAAACUCACCUGGCCCGGACACCGUGAGGAUUGACAGAUUGAGAGCUCUUUCAUGAUUCGGUGGUUGGUGGUGCAUGGCCGUUCUUAGUUGGUGGAGUGAUUUGUCUGGUUUAUUCCGAUAACGAGCGAGACUCUAGCCUACUAAAUAGUUACUGGAUAAUUUUAUCGUCCAGACAACUUCUUAGAGGGACAAGCGGUGUUUAGCCGCAUGAAGUUGAGCAAUAACAGGUCUGUGAUGCCCUUARAUGUCCAGGGCUGCACGCGCGCUACACUGGAGGAAUCAKCGUGCUGUAACCAUUACCGAAAGGUAUUGGUAACCCCUUGAAAAUCCUCCGUGAUCGGGAUCGGGAAUUGCAAUUAUUUCCCUUGAACGAGGAAUUCCUAGUAAGUGUGAGUCAUCAGCUCACGUUGAUUACGUCCCUGCCCUUUGUACACACCGCCCGUCGCUGCCCGGGACUGAGCCGUUUCGAGAAAAGCGGAGACUGCUGUUUCAAUACCUUUCAAGGGUAGAGAUUCUUUGGUGGAAACUGCUUUAAU